UGGCGAACGGGUGAGUAACACGUGGGUGAUCUGCCCUGCACUUCGGGAUAAGCCUGGGAAACUGGGUCUAAUACCGGAUAGGACGAUGGUUUGGAUGCCAUUGUGGAAAGUUUUUCGGUGUGGGAUGAGCUCGCGGCCUAUCAGCUUGUUGGUGGGGUAAUGGCAUACCAAGGCGUCGACGGGUAGCCGGCCUGAGAGGGUGUACGGCCACAUUGGGACUGAGAUACGGCCCAG
rnacentral:rRNA from 1 species